AUGGUAUCAGUGGUAGGGGAGCGUUCUAAGUGCAGUGAAGUCAGACCGGAAGGACUGGUGGAGCGCUUAGAAGUGAGAAUGCCGGUAUGAGUAGCGAAAGACGGGUGAGAAUCCCGUCCACCGAAUGCCUAAGGUUUCCUGAGGAAGGCUCGUCCGCUCAGGGUUAGUCAGGACCUAAGCCGAGGCCGACAGGCGUAGGCGAUGGACAACAGGUUGAUAUUCCUGUACCACCUCUUUAUCGUUUGAGCAAUGGAGGGACGCAGAAGGAUAGAAGAAGCGUGCGAUUGGUUGUGCACGUCCAAGCAGUUAGGCUGAUAAGUAGGCAAAUCCGCUUAUCGUGAAGGCUGAGCUGUGAUGGGGAAGCUCCUUAUGGAGCGAAGUCUUUGAUUCCCCGCUGCCAAGAAAAGCUUCUAGCGAGAUAAAAGGUGCCUGUACCGCAAACCGACACAGGUAGGCGAGGAGAGAAUCCUAAGGUGUGCGAGAGAACUCUGGUUAAGGAACUCGGCAAAAUGACCCCGUAACUUCGGGAGAAGGGGUGCUUUCUUAACGGAAAGCCGCAGUGAAUAGGCCCAAGCGACUGUUUAGCAAAAACACAGGUCUCUGCGAAGCCGUAAGGCGAAGUAUAGGGGCUGACACCUGCCCGGUGCUGGAAGGUUAAGGAGAGGGGUUAGCGUAAGCGAAGCUCUGAACUGAAGCCCCAGUAAACGGCGGCCGUAACUAUAACGGUCCUAAGGUAGCGAAAUUCCUUGUCGGGUAAGUUCCGACCCGCACGAAAGGUGUAACGAUUUGGGCACUGUCUCAACCAGAGACUCGGUGAAAUUAUAGUACCUGUGAAGAUGCAGGUUACCCGCGACAGGACGGAAAGACCCCGUGGAGCUUUACUGUAGCCUGAUAUUGAAUUUUGGUACAGUUUGUACAGGAUAGGCGGGAGCCAUUGAAACCGGAGCGCUAGCUUCGGUGGAGGCGCUGGUGGGAUACCGCCCUGACUGUAUUGAAAUUCUAACCUACGGGUCUUAUCGACCCGGGAGACAGUGUCAGGUGGGCAGUUUGACUGGGGCGGUCGCCUCCUAAAGUGUAACGGAGGCGCCCAAAGGUUCCCUCAGAAUGGUUGGAAAUCAUUCGUAGAGUGCAAAGGCAUAAGGGAGCUUGACUGCGAGACCUACAAGUCGAGCAGGGACGAAAGUCGGGCUUAGUGAUCCGGUGGUUCCGCAUGGAAGGGCCAUCGCUCAACGGAUAAAAGCUACCCCGGGGAUAACAGGCUUAUCUCCCCCAAGAGUCCACAUCGACGGGGAGGUUUGGCACCUCGAUGUCGGCUCAUCGCAUCCUGGGGCUGUAGUCGGUCCCAAGGGUUGGGCUGUUCGCCCAUUAAAGCGGUACGCGAGCUGGGUUCAGAACGUCGUGAGACAGUUCGGUCCCUAUCCGUCGUGGGCGUAGGAAAUUUGAGAGGAGCUGUCCUUAGUACGAGAGGACCGGGAUGGACGCACCGCUGGUGUACCAGUUGUUCUGCCAAGGGCAUAGCUGGGUAGCUAUGUGCGGAAGGGAUAAGUGCUGAAAGCAUCUAAGCAUGAAGCCCCCCUCAAGAUGAGAUUUCCCAUAGCGUAAGCUAGUAAGAUCCCUGAAAGAUGAUCAGGUUGAUAGGUUCGAGGUGGAAGCAUGGUGACAUGUGGAGCUGACGAAUACUAAUAGAUCGAGGACUUAACCAU
rnacentral:rRNA from 1 species